UCUCCCAGCCUCCUGCUGGGGCUCCCAUUACCCAAACCCAACAAGUAGCCAGAGGCUCUGCUCAGGUGGUCUAUAUAGGUCAGCUGACAGAGAGCAGGGUGCCUAGGGGUGGGGUGUGGCCCACUGACCACAGGACGCAGGGGCUACCUAUUGCACUGAUUCCUUUGAUAACCUAGGUGAGAGGCUGUACCCACAAGAUGCCCCAUGUUUUUCUAUAUUUACCUUUAUAUUAUUUUACUGUUGCAAUAAUAUAUGCCUGCUUUUUUUUUUUAAUUCUGGAAAGAUACGUCAGACAGUAUGUGUGUGAAGGGAUGGGUGCCUGUGAGGGUAUAUAUGUACAGAAUGUCAGUGGAUUCGUGUGUGAGAACAACGUGUGUUUGUGACAGUGUGUGUAUGUGUAUGUGCAUGUUUGUGGAGUAUGUACGUUAAUGAGCACAUGUGGGAGGGGUUGAUUGUGAAUAAGCAUGCGUGAGAGGUGGGAGUAGGCCGUGUGCUAAGACAUGUGUCUGUGACAAUGUACGCAUGCGUGCGAGGAUGUACAAUGGAUGUAAGACGUGUAUGUGUAAGGGAUAGUUAGAUGUGUUCAAGGGUGUUUGUGAGAGGGGGGUGAGGGUGUGUAUGUAUGGGUGGUAGUGCCUGGGUGUGGGGGAGAUGAAGAUGUGGAAGGGGGUGUGAGAAGAUGUGUGAGUAAAGAGGUGGGUGAGUGUGACAGUGUGUGUAAGGGGAUUUAUAGAUAGUAUGCGUGUGCCUGGAAGCACAGAGGUGAGUGUAUUUAUAUACAUCUAUACACGUAACAAUAGAAACAGUUGCUUCUAGGAAAAAAAAAAAACAACUGGAAGAAGAUACUCCAGAAUGUUCAUAAUAGUAAUCUCUAGUGUUGGAACAAGGAUCCUGGCUGUGUCACUCACUUAUGACCUUAGGCCAGGCACUCAAUCUUUUGAAUCUCCUUUCCUCUCUUGUAAGUUGGGACAGUGUACCUACCUCACAGAGCAGUCGGGAGGAUUAAAUAAGUCAAUGCUUGUCAAGGGUUAAACAUAAAGUGCCUGGCUCAUUACAGGCAGUGAACAACUCUCCUUUUCUGCUACUUUGUAGUCAGUGAAACAAUGAACAUUUCAGUCUGUUUUCUACAUUCCAAGAGCACAUGAAAAAUAUUGUACCUUUCUGAAAACAUGUAAAAAUAAUACAAAUCUUGACUAGCAAAAUGUGUCUUAAUAGGAAUGUAUUCGAAAAUUGGAAUCCUCUUUUUCAAUAUGUAGCCAAAUAGAUAUCUACGUCCUUGGUUAAUUUGUAGAAGGAAAUCUUGUCUUUAAAAUUCAGAGCCAUAUGAGUGUUUAAUUUUUCACGGGAUUUCAUUAAUUUUCUGGUAUUCAAUAAUCAAAACUAAUCACCACUGAUGCUGACAAGCCAAGGCCAUGAUGGUUUUGCAUUAAUGAGAUGAUAAUAUGAAUGUAAUACCCCAUUCGUAUCACAUUGUUUUAGCUAAAUCUAAAGUCUCAAAGCUUAUGCACUAAACACUAACAGGGAUUAUCAAUGGUGGAAGGUCUUUGGUAAUUGUUAUUUUUUUUAUUUUGGUUUUGUGUUUUCUACAAUUUUUUUAAUGAUGAACAUAUAGGGCUUAUAUAAUAAGAUUUCUAUGAAAACUGAUUUAAGAGCAAGUUGUUUUCCUAAGUUAAAAAGGCCCUAAAUUCUUUCACUGGUACAUCACUGUCUCUGCACUGCCUCAUUUUACUAAUAAUAAAAUAUGAGAUUUUCCCUAUUCCA
ensembl:lncRNA